rnacentral:lncRNA from 1 species
GCUUGUGAGAGUAUGGCACGCGCGCCGAACACCGGUCUCCUCCCUGUUGUCAUAAGGUAGCCACUAAGAUCUCUUUCGAUCUCAAUCCCUUCUUUCUGUUUCUUUUUUCAGAUUAAUAUGGAGAUGUGGCGUGUGUUCAUACAGAUUGCUCAAAACAACUUUGCUCUAUCACUGUAUUGUAACUCUGAAAAUUAAUUUGUAUAUUUUGAUUAAUGUAUCAAGUUUGUGUGUUCAUCAAGGCCGAUUCUGCCCUUUUGCCACUGCCCACUUCGAUAGGCCGAGGGUCACCAUACAUUGGUUCUCCGCCUUGCAGCACUUCCCAAUAGGUGUGCUCCUCCCACCCCUUACUAUCUUUUCUUUCUUUCAUCAUCGGAAGAGUUGAGAUUAUCAAGGAUAGGAAUAUGAACAAAUAUGAUCACGCCCUAUGUUGUGUGUACUUUGUUGUCCAUCUGUACGUGCUACCCCUAGGUGGGUGACGCUCUGGUGAUUACAAUACUGACUGUCCAUGAUUUCUUUCUUAUGUGCGAUUUCUGGCCCAACUAACAUGAUACUAAUUUGCUUCCCUUCGUUUUUUAGUUACUGUACCGGCUGAUACAUCCAUCUGUUGGGAGGUUAUUUUGCUAUCAACUGUUAUGCUAGAUUUCUGCUUUUUCUAUUCAUGCUUGGUAUAAUGUCUGAACCGUUGUAACCAUAUAAAACCAUCUGAAUUGUUCAUCCGCCUGACAUCACCACCGUUGCCCCUGAUGCCCUGGUUGGCCAUCCUUGCUGUUGUCGUCUAAUAGAACCGCCGUUACUGCGGUUCUCAUCGGAACAAGGCUGUUAAUAUUAAGAACACAUCUUCUUACAUAACCGGGCAAGCCAUUACCUUCUAUUCUUUCUUAAUAUUCUGUUGUUUCAUCUAGUUCAUGUUAAUACUCAACAGCACACAUCAUUACCCGUUUUUAAAGUUCUCUUCCAUUUGAACAUUAUGCAAGGUACAAAGACAUGUCCGGAUAAUAAAAUUACUUGUAAACAUUUUGGGAUUUUUUCCUCCUCUGUUCACUGUACCGUGUUCUGUUCAAAAUACAGUCAUAAUGUCCACCCAUUUGAAAGAUGAUUGAGGUGAAUGUGAUACUAAAUAAUUGUCCUAACUUACUCAAAGAUGAUGCUUAUUAGGCUUGCUAACACAUUAGCAGUACCAUUGCUCAUUGAGGACCAAAGUAAAUAUUUAUGCACUGAUGCUUGUUUAUCACUGCCACUAUCCACAUUUUGUUUAUCUGUGGACCGCACGUCUGAUUUUUAUUAUUUUCCUUACAAAUACUUAAAAUAAUAGCUGCCAUUUUUGCUUCGUCUUUGCCCUACCAGACAAAUAUCAUCGAGUAAAAUGGUUCAUGCUGCAUGUUGCAUUCUAUGUUGAUGACAAAUAUCUUUCUUGAAUGGUUACUUAUAGUUUACAAAUCCUUGACAAAUACACAUUCUGAAAGUACAUACCCC